rnacentral:rRNA from 1 species
UAGAUACCCUAGUAUAUAAAAUGAAUUGAAAUUAGUAUAGGAUGAAAUUUAAUAAUUUUGGCGGUUAAAUUUUAAUUAGAGGAGCUUGUUGAAUUAGUAAAGACUCUUUGAAUUUUAAAAUAAGUUGUUUAUUCAUCUCCGUUAUAAGAUAAGGAUUGAAAAAAAUAAAUUGAGUAUAAUUUCAGGUCAAGAUGUAGCAUUUAUAAAUAAAAAUUAGCUACAAUAAUGAUAUUAUGGAUAUAAUUAGGAAGGAUGUUAAGGAAAUUGAAUUUAGUUGUAAUAUUAUUUAGAACAAUAAUAUGAAUUAAUAAAUUUUAUGUACAUAUUGCCCGUCACUUCUAAUUAAUAAAUAGAAUAAGUCGUAAC